UACAGAGGUCUCAAGCGUUGUUCGGAUUCAUUGGGCGUAAAGCGUGCGCAGGCGGUUCUCCAAGUCCGUUGUGAGAGCCCCGGGCUCAACCUGGGAAUGGCAGUGGAAACUAGGGGACUGGAAUCUGGCAGAGGGGGGUGGAAUGCCGCGUGUAGCAGUGAAAUGCGUAGAGAUGCGGCGGAACACCGAUGGCGAAGGCAGCCCCCUGGGCUGAGAUUGACGCUCAGGCACGAAAGCGUGGGGAGCAAACAGG
rnacentral:rRNA from 1 species